CCUACGGGGGGCAGCAGUGGGGAAUAUUGGACAAUGGGGGCAACCCUGAUCCAGCCAUGCCGCGUGUGUGAAGAAGGCCCUCGGGUUGUAAAGCACUUUCAGCGAGGAAGAACGCCUGGUGGUUAAUACCCAUCAGGAAAGACAUCACUCACAGAAGAAGCACCGGCUAACUCCGUGCCAGCAGCCGCGGUAAUACGGAGGGUGCGAGCGUUAAUCGGAAUUACUGGGCGUAAAGCGCGCGUAGGUGGCUUGAUAAGCCGGUUGUGAAAGCCCCGGGCUCAACCUGGGAACGGCAUCCGGAACUGGCAAGCUAGAGUGCAGGAGAGGAAGGUAGAAUUCCCGGUGUAGCGGUGAAAUGCGUAGAGAUCGGGAGGAAUACCAGUGGCGAAGGCGGCCUUCUGGACUGACACUGACACUGAGGUGCGAAAGCGUGGGUAGCAAACAGGAUUAGAUACCCCGGUAGUC
rnacentral:rRNA from 1 species